UACGAAGGGGGCUAGCGUUUUUCGGAUUUACUGGGCGUAAAGCGCGUGUAGGCGGAUCGUUAAGUCGGGGGUGAAAGCCCAGAGCUCAACUCUGGAAUUGCCUUCGAUACUGGCGGUCUGGAGCAGAGAAGAGGCGAGUGGAAUUCCGAGUGUAGAGGUGAAAUUCGUAGAUAUUCGGAGGAACACCAGUGGCGAAGGCGGCUCGCUGGUCUCUUGCUGACGCUCAUGCACGAAAGCGUGGGGAGCAAACAGG
rnacentral:rRNA from 1 species